rnacentral:sRNA from 1 species
CAAUGAGGAUCUUCUGCUAACAGCAUGCACGUCCUGUGCAAAACGCAGAAGUCACCGCAUCCUGCGGA